rnacentral:lncRNA from 1 species
CAGAAAAAACAGAUGGCAUCAAUACCGUUGCCCUCAUCAUCCCAGCAGUUUUACAGUUUAUCUCACAGACCUCUACCUUAAGAAGAAAAUAUAAGAGAAACAUACCAAAUGCUGUGGCUCCUAUUAAAUAAGGACUUUCCUACAAGAAGGCUGAGACCCUCAAGGAAGCCCAAAUCACAACGAUGAGAGUACUGGCAGACUAGAAAACAUACAACCCCUGUACCAUAAUUAGGUGGUAUAAGGAGUAGAACCACAGUGGACCAACCAAAGGUUCAGUUCAAGUUAAUCAAAUCCUUUGCCAUUAGGGGGCUCCGCCCACAGCACUGUAAAAGUGGGAACAGCAUCUUUUAUUUUCUAUUAUUUCUCCUUCCAGAUACCCACAUACCUCCACCCCAGUACCUGGCAGAGUGCACUCAGUGAACUUUCUUGAGGAUUGUUAACUAACUUCAAGGUUGACCAUUUUUACUUAAUCUGAGAGUAACUGACAUUUUCUGUGGUAUCCUUUUUCAUAUUUGAGCACAAGUGAUUUAGGACUUGGAACGGAGAGCUAGUAGGUGGGGCUAGAAUCGGCACCUGCGGAAAAUCCGACCAAUGAGGAGCGAACGACACAGCGGCCAUCUUGGUAAAGGAAAAGGAACAAGGAAGAAAGUGGAACCAAUUAGCAAGCUAAGACAGGGUCUUGCGGUGUCACCCAGGCUGUCACAGGAGUGCAGUGGUGUGAUCAUAGCUCACUGUGGUCUCCAACUUCAGGGCUCAAGCGAUCUUCUUGCCUCUGCCUCCCAAAGUACUGGGAUUACUGGCGUGUGCCACCGCACCCAGAUGAGACUAACGUUUUAAUGUCAAAAAACCUAUAAAAUAUUUGGAAAAAAAGCGUUUAAUCUCUAAGAGCCGCUAUGCAAAAGCAGUGGAGACACAAAAAUCUGUAUGACACUGUUCCUGCCCUGAGACCGGGACAAGCUGGAGUUGGAAUUACCCAGUGAAGUUGUUCUUAAGAAGGCUACUGUAAAACCAGUAACAUGAAGGUGAAUCUGUGGUUUGGAGCUCCCCCUACAGUUUGUUUGAAGACUGGUCUCUCUCAUCUCCAAGAAAAAUGACCACUUUGGAAAAUGAGUUCUUACGCAUGCUUGGAAAUAUUUUUAAUGUGUAUAUAUUGUUUAAAUUUAUGUUUAAAUGUGUACAUGAGGAAUCCGUUUUAUGUUAGACAUAUUUUUUUCGUUUGUUACCUGCUUGCUAGCUGUGGACUGUAUAAUUUAUUUUCCAAUAAGUCAAAGUCUUUGUUUUAGGUCAGAGUGCCAUUUUCAAGGUUGCGAAUUUCAACAAGAGUUAAAUGACACGUGAAACUUUAUGGCUAUUUGAGAAUUGGACAUUUUGAAUGAGAGAUUUUAUCAUUUUAUAUUUUGUUUACGUAUUUCUUUUCAAAUAUAGGGCCUGAAUUAUGACCAAGCACUAUAACUUUUAAUGAGGGAUAAAGAAUUGCAUGCCACUAUGUGUGUACUCUGAAAAAUACUCAUUUAGUUAGUCAUUUGACAAAUACUGAUUAUCAUCUAUGUGCCCGACACUGUUUAAGGCAUUAGGCACAUAUCAAUGAACAAAGCAGACAAAAAUUUCCCUGCCCUUGGGGAUCUUGUAGUUUAGUGAUGGAUGGAGGAGUAGUGGAUUAUAAAAAUUAUCAUGAUAAAGAAGUCAAUUACAUAGUGUAUUAAAAGGUUCAAAGUACUGUGAAAGCAAUGGGCCCUGGCACAGGAAAUCAGAUUGAAGGAAGGGAGAAGCAGUGAGGCAACUGCAAUUCCAAAUAGUGUGGUCAAGGAAACUCCCAUUGAAAAGAUUUGAGAAAAGACUUGGAGGUAAGAAGAGCUUUCCAGGCAGGGAAUAGCAAGUACAGAGGCCUUCAAUCAGGAGCUUGCUGGUGCAUUCAAGGCACAGUAAAGGGGCUCAGCGUGCCUGGAGUGGAGUGAAGGGGAGUGUAGCUGUAAAUCAUAUAGGGCAAGAGUCAGCAAACCAGUGCAGCCUGUUUUUGUAAAUAAAGUUUUAUUGGAACAUGGCCAUGCUCAUUUGUUUAUGUAUUUUCUGUGGCUGCUUUCAUGCUACAACCAGAAAGUGGAGUUGUUGAGACGGAGAUGAUCUAUCCCACAAAGACUAACAUAUUUAACUGUCUGAGUCUUUAUAGAAAAUAUUUUCUGACCCCUGCUGUAGGUAAGAUUUCACAGGCCACUGUAACAAUGUUGACUUUGACUCUGAGAGAAAUGAGAAGCUAUGGGAAGGACUGAACAAAAGAGUGAUCUGAUUUGUGUUUUGUGAUUUGUGUUUUGAAAGGAUCAUUAUGGCUGCCAUGUUGACAAAUUUUAGGGAAAAGGCUGGGAACAGGAAAACCAAUUAGGACUGUGGUUCAAAAGGUGUACCAGCCAGGCACAGUGGCUCAUGCCUACAAUCCCAGUGCUUUGGGAGGCUGAGGUGGAAGGAUCUCUAGAGGCCAGAGUCUGAGAUUGCAGCAGUGAGCUAUGAUCACACCACUACACUCUAGCCUGGGUGACAGAGUGAGACCCUGUCUUAAAAAAAAAAAAAGUGCACCAAUGUGCUCCCAAGACACUACAGCAGAUUCAUCUGGGUGCAGCUGGGUAUUUUAAAUUCGUGAAGGAUUCAUAGCAAUACCCAACAUCUGUUAGAUAUUGCAUGAGCUUCUAGCUAGUAGGUAUAGUUCACAGUUUCAACAUCAGGUCAUGCCACAUUACUUUCAAUGAUACUGUAUCUUUGUGAAGCUGGGUUUUUGGCAAGUGCCCUAUGCAAAUCAGUGUGGAACAGGAAGUGAUGCUGGUAAUAUCCAACUUGAUUCUAAGGUUUGAGAUGUACAGUACCCAACUGGCAUACAUAUCCCAUUAGCAAGUGAUUGUGGCUAAGAGUAAGGUUUUCUUCUAACUUAAUUAUAUUAUUUUUCAGAUGGCACCUUACUUGUUACAAUACUCUAAUGAGCAUUGUAUUAGUUUCUAGUCGCUGCUCUAACAAAUCACUACAAAUGACUUCAAAGGUUUCUGCCCCAAGCAACUGAAAAAUGGCAUUACCAUGAACUGAGAUAAAGAAAACUGUGUAUGAACCAGGUUUUUUUUUUUGUGGGGGUAGGAGGGCAGAUGAGAGAUUCAAUUUUAUACACGUUUAGGAAAGAAGAUACAAAGAGAAGGAAACGAUGCACAUUCUGACCAGGGCCUUUCUCCAGAUUGUCCACCCAUGAGCCCUUUAGGCUGUUGUGUUUUGACUUCUCACUCAAAACAUGGACUGAGCAAGUACAGAGUUGCCAUGUUAGAGAGAGGAGACUCAGCAAGCCUUGUCUGACUCAGAGUCUUAACUAGUUUGGGGCAAAUGGAGCUCUGUUUAAGGGAACAGAGAACUACAGGGUUCCCAUGUUUAAAAUAAUUAUGUCAAAAGAUUGAGCAGGAUUUUAGAAAGAUGGAGGCAGCAGUGUAGUUUUGAAUCUCCUCAAAUCCUCUCAUGGAAAUAGAUCAAACCAAACAAAAAACCCAUAAGUAGCCUUUAUCACAAAACUAGAGGACGGUUUUCCCUAUGAACCCCAAAACAAGAGGGUGGGGCAAACCAUCACCAAUGGGCACCAGACUUGCCUGGUAUGGCACCCACACAAGAGGGAGUGGUAGACAGUAUGCCUUCAAACUGCCAGCAGAGAAGUUCACUGGAAAGUACCAUGGGCCAAUGUGAGAACAGCAGCUGAAACUGAGGGGUUUUGCCCAGUCACAAAGUGAGUAAGUACAAGGGACCUGUGAUAGACUCUGAAGCACUGAAGCAGUCUAGUCCCUUCCCACUCUUGAGCCCGAGCAGCCAGAGCUCCUUUCCAGGAUGUGGCCCUGGAAACACAGAGGAAAAACUACUGGGAGGAACAACGGAUACAAAGAUAAAAAUCAGGGAGGGAAACAGAGCUAGGAAAUGUCAAAAAGCAAACCACCAUGUCAUUUGACACUACAUUUUUAAAAAAGAGAAGUUUGGGGAAGUUUUAGAAAAGUUAUCCUUAACACCUCCUUUUCAAAGUGCAGAAAAACCAAUUUCACCUAAAAAUGAAUAACAGAAAAGGAUCGUAGUCAAAUCCCAUACAAAGGUAUUAUAAGAAAAAAGAGAAUAAGCAGCAGAAUAGCAUCCUGUCAGACAACAAAAGCAAGUCAGAAAAGACAGCCCCGCCAGCUGAUCCAAAGAGUAAUCUGCUAUUUCAAAACUAGCUAAAAGACAUUAGGAAAAAACGAUGCAAAAGAUGAAAGGACCAUGGGGGGCAGGAUGGGAAGUUACUGAAUGAGUACUGUACAGAGUUUUUGUUUGGGAUGAUGAAAAAGUUCUGGAGAUGGAUAGUGGUAAUGGUGGAACAACAGUAUGAAUCUACUUAAUGCCACUGAAUUGUACACUUAAAAUGG